UUUAUGAAGAGCCCAAAACAUUUAUUUGGUAUCCAGCAGCUGACCGUCUUAAGUUUUUAAAGAGUAUUUGAAUUGAGAAUUGCAACCUUUACAGACACCAUUCCUCCCAGCAUAAAAGGUAGAUUUGCUAGAUUACACGUGGGUCAAUCUCACUGUAGGGUGCCUUUCGGUGUUCUGUACAUAAAUAACUCAUUUGCCAUGAUAACAUAAAAAUUACUAUGAAAGGGUGUGUUAUAUGAGGCUAAGUUUUUAUAUUCACAACAAAUGCAUUACUUGCCUCUUUAGAUACAUUUUCUAGAUUUUUUUGUUUGUUUUGUUUUGUGUAAGAGGAUGCAUGUUAUUUUGCUAUGCCCCAUGCACUGCUCAUUACAUUUGAAUGAUAGUAGAAUAUUGUCAAAUCAUAAAAGUUAAAAAAAUUGUUCUCCUAUUAAUAUUUUGUUAAAUAAGAGAGUAUACUUACCUUGAGUGCAUUGAUCAUUUGGUAAUAAAAAUUAUAUUUUUAUUUAAUAAAAAAUAAUAGUUUUUCCAUGUCCCUUGAAUGUUUGUCCACCCUGUCCUAUUGGGGAAUCCGCCCCUUUAAGAAAAGGCCAUCCGCUUUAGUGACAUCAGGACAAAAGGUUUUUUCUGUCUCUUCAGUGGCAGAUUUUCUUAUGAGUUUGCUUAUCUGCUUUGCCAAAGCUUAUCAUGGAUGUUAUUGAUGAUGUAAUUAUAUAUAUAUAUUUUUUUUUAGAAGUUGAACAAAUGUUUCAUUGUCAUGCUUUGUGUGUUCUGCUUUAUGUGUCCACCGUGUAAUGUGCUGGUCCAUCCUGUCAUCUUGAUAUUUUACACAAAUAUUUUAAACAAUAAUUCAGUCAUAUAGAUAAUCCAGUGUGUUCAAUAGCUAGGUGUGGGGGCAAUAACAUGCAAACAAAUAACAGCAUCCAAAUAUCUGUUUUCUCCAAAUAAGAAAAAAUACAUGUGCGAAUUGUAUAAGUUUCUUUAAAAACACAUGGUUUACAUAACAUUUUGAAUGAAUUUAUAAUUUGAAAGCAAACAAAUAACCCUGUUUAGGAAAGGGACAUAACUUUCAGAAUGUAUAAUUUGCAUCUUUAUUUUGAAAUGAAAACGUAUUUAACAGUAAUAUACUAUAUAUGUCCAUGACAGGGUGGACAAAUCUUAUGGUUUAUGCUUCAAAUAAUGGCCCUUAAUUAUCUAAAAAAAUGUGUGGGAGCUUAGCUAUUAUGUUUCUAUAGUACUUGAGUGUCUACUAUUUAUAACAUGACAAAGCGAAUGGGAAAUUAAAACCAAAGUGAGGGUUGAAAGGAACUCUAUGGUGAUAUUGACCCACGUAAUAAUGUUAAUUAUGAAAAUAAACAUAUUAUAUUAUGCACAAUAGAGCUUUAGUUGGAAAAUGAGUUAGUAAAAAUGUCUUGAAAAUAUAUGUAGUUUUCAGUGGACUCUGUUCUAUAAAUGUAUCCUUUUAAUUGACACUACAAAGGACAGUUAUUUGUACAAAAAGAAAUCCACCUCGACUUUGUUUGUAAUUUUUUUUAAUACAAUUUGAUUUUCUAAAGUUUAAUCAAGGUGCAUUCAAAGUGCAAUACUAUAGUUUUAAUUACAGUGGCAUGAACUUAAGAGAGUUUUCACAACAGUUCAGUCAUGAGACUGAUCUUAGAUUAGAUACUGCAGUUUUACUGCUCUGCAUUGACGUAUGAGGUUGUGAUCACAGUUAAAGCACACUGAAUGUUUCUGAAAACAGCCUUUAUCUAGAGAGAUAAUCUCAGGAAAUUCUUAUAUAACGCAUGACAUUCCUAGUGUUUGCAUUGGAUUAGUGGAGAUUAUUUAUGACAUUUGGUGUCUUUAGCUGUUACAGCUGUCUACACACAGUGGCAUUGACCUGUGGAUGUACGUCUGGUCAACUGCAUAGGAAAUAAGAGGACAUGGAAAGACCCACAGCAAAGGGCAUGGGAUAGCCAACCUCUCCUUUCCUGCCCACACCAGGCCAAUAGGGGUCACUUGCACCCACAUACAGGAAGCCCAGUUACUUAGCAACAUGGAGAGGAUCCACUGCCAGGUGCUUUGACAUUACAUUCACCGUACAUCAUUGUGGGAAAACUGUGGAAUACAGCGCAAUCUUUCCUUGCCAUAUACAAUCGGGCUCAGAAGUUUGGGCACCCCUUGCAGAAUCUGUGAAAAUGUGAAUAAUUUUCAAAAAAUAAGAGAGAUCAUACUAAAUGCACGUUUUUUAUUUAGUACUGUCCUGAGUAAGAUAUUGUACAUAAAAGAUGUUUACAUUUAGUCCACAAGACAAAAAAAUUGCUGAAAUUAUUAAAAGAACCCCAUUCAAAAGUUUGGGAACCAUUGGUUCUUAAUACUGUGUGUGGUUACCUGAUGAUCCACGACUGUUUUUCUGUUUUGUGAUGGUUGUGCAUGAGUCCCUUGUUUGUU
ensembl:lncRNA